AAAACACAUCAGCUGUUGUUUCAACCCGGACUUCCGCCCAGAAGGAGAGAGUUGAUGACCCCGGAGUCCGGUCCCUACCUUCCCUUCCAGCUGAAAUUUCUAACAAUAAACUUGCUAAAACUU